AUGGAAUUCUAUAGCUAACAUUUUAAAGGACCACUCUGCUGUGUCUAUAGCAACUGCACCAUCAUUCAGCAUUUUAACAACUUUGAAAAUCAACAAGUCUCACUAUUCAAUAACACCAGAUCCCUUCCACUGCUCUACUACAAGCAAAGGCAAAUGAUUUCCCCAGCCACCAACUGUCCACGCACAGGCAUGCUGGCUUCUGUGAGCAGAGUACUCCUGAUGGAGGUACCCAGGGCAGAGCUCGCUUACCGCAUGGACAUCCAGCGAGUCCACCGUGAGGUCGUAGGGGUCCAUGUGCAGGCUGUCGAACACCUGCCGCAGGGUGAUCUUCCGACCGAGUUUCUCCGCCACAGUUCUGUCGGGUUCUGUCUGGUAUGUGUGCUUGAUGAAACGCAGCAGGUGCUUCUGGUUCAUACAGGCCGCUGCGUGAAUGUGCGUGUCUACCUGGAACACACCACCCACUGGUCAAUGAGCCGGUCCCCUCCCCUAGUGACCAAAGAGCCUCAACCCUCCAGGUGGAACUCAGCACCACACUGGCCGUGGACAGAGUGCCCACCAUCCCCCUUCCUAUUUUUCCUCCGCGCCUUGGAGCUCAUCUUCGCUCCUGCAGGCCUGCCACCCAGCCUAUAUCCACACAGCAUCAAGAUA